GAUUAUGGGCCCAGUUUUCAAGUUGGUCCAAAUCAGGAUCUAAAAUUAUUAUAUUAAGUAUUGUGCAAUAGCAAGUCUUUUCAAUUGCACAGUAUUGUGCAAUGGCAAGAAAUAUCUAAUUGCACAAUAUUGUGAAAUAGCAAAUUUUUUUUUAAUUAGAGUUAUCUUUCUUUGUCCAGAAUAGUAAGCAAGAAAUAUCCUAUUUGUGCAAUAGCAAGAAUUUUUUUUAAUUGGAGUUAUCUUUCUUUGUCCAGAAUCAACUUAAAUCUUUGUUAUAUACAAUAUACAAUGUAUAUACACUUUUUACUACCAACUGAUAAAUUUAAAUAAUCUUUACCAUUCAGUGAUAACAAGCAGUUUUUUUACAUCUUAAUAUUUUAUGAUGUAUUUAAAUGAGUAGUUAUUGUUGCAAACUCCAUUAGAAAUUUGAAUUGAUAUCAGUUUUGAAAAAGGGAAACGGGGAUGUGAAAAAAAAGGGGGGGGGUUAAAUUUUUCUCAUUUCAGAUUUCAUAAAUAAAAAGAAAAUUUCUUCAAACAUUUUUUUGAGAGGAUUAAUAUUCAACAGCAUAGUGAUUUGCUCAAAGGCAAAAAAAACCUUUUAAGUUCAUUAGACCACAUUCAUUCUGUGUCAGAAACCUAUGCUGUGUCAACUAUUUAAUUUUAGAUUUAAAAAGUUUGAAGAAGAAAUCUUUAAUUGAUUUGUAAAAUCUUGGCAUUUGUUUUGUGUAAAAAAAACCCAUGUAAUGUCAAAAAUUUGAUCACAAUCCAAAUUCAGAGCUGUAUCAUGCUUGAAUGUUUUGUCCAUACUUGCCCCAACUGUUCAGGGUUCGACCUCUGCGGUCGUAUAAAGCUGCGCCCUGCGGAGC
rnacentral:lncRNA from 1 species